CUCUUAAUGCUUAUAUGAGGAUGCCUCCUUUACAGACACUAUAACUCUUCUCCAACUUAGUUAAUCCUUUUAUGAAACGUUUGCCUCUCCUGUCCGCCACGUACUGUUCAGGUGAACAGUAGCCCUUCGGGACACUUUCCUCAUUUCCCAUUAUCUCUCGCACCUACUGAAGCCGCCUAAAGACCUCUGUAUAGAGUAAUCACUGGACGUGAAGACCUUUGAGUCCCGGUCAGCACA